AAAUGAAUAGACGGGGGCCCGCACAAGCGGAGGAACAUGUGGUUUAAUUCGAUGAUACGCGAGGAACCUUACCUGGGCUUAAAUGUAGAUUGCAUUUCCGAGAAAUCGGGAUUCCCUUCGGGGCUAUUUACAAGGUGCUGCAUGGUUGUCGUCAGCUCGUGCCGUGAGGUGUCGGGUUAAGUCCCAUAACGAGCGCAACCCCUAUCGUUAGUUGCCAGCGGAUAAUGCCGGGGACUCUAGCGAGACUGCCACCGUAAGGUGUGAGGAAGGUGGGGAUGACGUCAAAUCAGCACGGCCCUUAUGUCCAGGGCUACACACGUGUUACAAUGGCAGGUACAAAGGGCAGCCACCUCGCGAGAGGGCGCUAAUCCCAAAAGCCUGUCCCAGUUCGGAUUGGAGUCUGCAACCCGACUCCAUGAAGUUGGAUUCGCUAGUAAUCGGAUAUCAGCCAUGAUCCGGUGAAUACGUUCCCGGGCCUUGUACACACCGCCCGU
rnacentral:rRNA from 1 species